UUCAAUGUUGAGGAGAAUCGCUGCCUGUAAUAAUAGUUAUUAAUAGGUAGAAUUGCUGCAUAUUGUACUUUAACUGUCAUUGAUCUGUUUAGCACCAAGGAACCAAGUUGUUGUUGCUGUUGCUGCUACAGUCCCUGCUGUUCUCCUGAUUCUCAUACUCAUCUGUCUCAUUUUGUGGAUCAUGAAAACCAAAGUGUGGAAGCAGCCGUCCAGACGUGGAGCAGGACCAGUUCCCAGUGAACAGCAACGAAACAGGAAGAGCCUCUUUACUGCAACACGGUCCAACUUGGCCCAACUGGGUCCAAGAGACACAAGAAGAAGAAGGAAGACGAGAGGGUGGAGUAUGCUUCUGUUAACUGUGGCAGAACCAGAACUGAUGCAAGAACCGAGUCUGAAAAGCAGGACACUGUGGAGGAUCCAGCUGCCUUGUACAGCAAAAUCAACAAACCAGGAAAGAACAGCAGAGAAACUCCUACUGGGUUAUAAAUGACUUUUACUUUUAUUCUGCAUUAGUUUAUCCAGAGAAACUCCUGUUAGUGUAUAAAUUAUAAAGUACUUUUUGUUUCUCUCUUGCUUUUCUUUUGUUUGCAUUUCCUGUAAUUCAUGUAAAGAUUUUUGAAUUGACUUGUUGAUGAAAAUGUUCUAUA